GGGAAGCUCGAUGAACCAGACGAGAGCCCCGUUUACCCGGAUGUUAGGAUUGCAUCAGCUGCAGAUGACAACGUGACGUAUUCCCAGGUUCACCUCCGCACUGAAAAGAAGAACAAUGAAGGAAAAUCCAGAUGUGUAGCAGAAGAGGAAACUGUUCAUUCUUCAAACCAGGAACAUCUGAUCAAUAAAGACGUCGGUGUGGACCAGACAGCCCAACAUGAACAACCAUCUCUUUAAGAUAUAAGAUGAAGCCUCAAACAGCUACAGACCAGACAGCUUGGUGUACUAUGGAAGUCUGUCGUAGUCUCUUUUGGACAGAUGAGCUUUGGGUUAAAAAGGAUGAUAUGGUCUUUGCAGCGUUUCUCCAGAUAGGUAGAAUCGAAAAAAUAUCUCAUUUUUCGAUGGUGUAACAUAGAGACAUGAUACUUCCCCCCGCGGACAGGAGAACCCCUUCAUCGUAUGGAGCCGUUUCAUUAUCCGGCCAAACAGUUUUAGAUUUUGUGAGGGGUUUUCAUGCCCAGGGACACGUAUCAAAGUAACGUGCUAUAUAUCUCUUACUAAAAUGAAUGAUCAUCAAAUAGAGACCCAUCAAAAUGGGAACUGCUGCUCUGUGACAGAUAAUUAUAGUCUUAGUUCUGAGUGCUACUGAAAUUAAUUUAAACAUUUUAGCUAUAGUCUGAAGUAGCAUAAAGCCUUCUGCUUACACGCUUUCAUCCCUCCAAUACUUUUUUUCUAGUAAAAGUGGAUGAAUAGAAUUUUAAAGUGGGUGUCCCUUUUCUGAGAUUGUAUAUUUUUUUCCCCACAUACUUACCGACGUCCCCAGAUGUGUUGAAAAAUAAUGUAUCAAUUUCAAAGGGACUGUUACAUUUAGCAACUGAUGGUUGUAAAAUAACGCAUAAAAGCUUUAAGACAAACUCCUGCCAGCUUUCUUUAUCGUACUGAGAGAUCUAAAAUAUUAUCUAUUUGUUACUGAACACAGCUUUGUUAUGGAGAACUGAACUGAAUUGAAAACAUUCAAUUCCCAUUAAGGGAUUUUUAUCCUCAAUAAAAGCCUGCAGAUUAUCCAAUAAAAUACACUUUACCAUUUAAUAUCAUCCACUUCGCUCAUUAUUUUAACAUGGGCUAUUUCUACAUGUGAUUACUUGAAAAGUGCCCUUUAGAUUGAUAAAUAAGUCCCAUUCUGCACUUUCCUGACUUAGAACUCCUAGAGGU